CUGAAGUGAGUCUUCAUUCAUUGAAGCUUCUUCCCAUUGUGCUGGCUUUGACCGUAUGUAAAGUUGGGGAUUAAACAUGGUUCAAAAUUUAUUUUGUAGCCGUCCCCAACAAUUUAUCUCAUCCUUUAUAAAUUUGAACUGAACUCAUUUUGAGAUUACUUAAAAAAAUAAUCUUAUUAUA
rnacentral:misc_RNA from 2 species